GCCUCUCUCUACACACAAGCAAGUUGCAAGCUCUAAAGCUUGUAUUUACGGUUAACACUGUUCAGGCACCGUGAGGCAUCAGGCCCUCCCUAAGCUUUAUGGGCCCGAGUUGGGCACUGUGGCGCAUGCCUAUAGUGGGAGCACUCAGGAGGACUGCUAGUUUAAGAGCAGCCUAAACGAGCCCCCAGUGGCCUGAGCUACAUAGUCAGCAAGACCCUGUAUCUCAAAACCAAAAGUUUCCUGGGCCUGACUCCUCUACAGACAUUCAAGCCUAAGCGUAUACAGUCUGCUUCUGUGCCUCUGGCCCCUUUUCGAAAGGGCACUUCUUGUAAACUCCAAGAAGCUCACUUGUAGAGCACUUAGCUCCCCAUGAGGUUCUGGAUUCAACUUCCUGCAGGUACUGAUUUUAAAAAAAAGAUUUAUUUAUUAUUAUAUGUAAGUACACUGUAGCUGUCUUCAUAUACUCCAGAAGAGGGAGUCAGAUCUUGUUAUGGAUGGUUGUGAGCCACCACGUGGUUGCUGGGAUUUGAACUCAGGACCUUUGGAAGAGCAGUCGGUGCUCUUAACUGCUGAGCCAUCUCUACUGAAUUUUAAAAGUGUACCUUUAUUACUAUGUGAAUGUGUAUGUAUCCAUGGAUGUGUAUGCUUGUUUGUGCGUGUGGGAGCCCCCGUGUGGGCAUCGUGACUCCUUAGCUCAGCCCACCAGGCUUGCACCCCAGGUGUCUCUGCUUCCUGUGUCACCUCAGGAGUCCCUGCAGUGUGCUUAGGUUUGUCUCUAUGUAUUGAGUGUUCUGCGCUCAUGUUGAUAUGUACAGAUGAGUGCCUGGGGCCUCCAGAGAUCAGUGGGCACUGGAUCCCCUAGAACUGGAGUUAGAGAUGGCUGUGAACAACCAGGUACUGGGGAUUCAACCCAAGUCCUCUACAAGAGCAAGAAGUGCUCUUCUCUGCUAAGCCAUCUAUCUCUUCAGCCCCCAUAGGCAGCUUAUUUAAAGAGCCAUUGUUACCUCUUCUCUAGCUUGCUACAGUCAGCUUCACACCAAUUCUCUUCCACACCCUUUGUGAUGCUGGGGACUGAACCCAGAGCCCUGCACACGAUAGGCAGAUGUUGUGUCCUGCAGGCCUCAACCCCACUUCUCCUUAAAGACCCCACUGACCAAGCAGGCAGCUCCUUUCUCUCCCUUUUUAUAGUUCAGGUUCUCUAAGCAGCUGACUCUAGUUUUGGGGUUUGGUUUGGUUAAUUGGCUGUUUUUUUUUUUAAAUAAUGCCAAGAACCAAUCCCAGGGCCACAGACAUGCCUCACACACACUCUACUACUGAGCUACAUACACGGCCCCCACCCCCACCCCAAGGCCUGGCUGGGCUUAACUCUAUCAUCCAGGGCAACCCUCCCGGGUGGUACUGCACAAGGCCCAGCCUUUCAACAGAUUACCGUCCUUGCUUCCUGACUCCCUGACUCAGCUCUUUCUCCAGCCCAUUCUAGAAUUCUAUUUCUAAAACACAAUUUGACCACAUCUCGCUCAUGUUUCAAAACCUGUACCAGUUUCCUACCAGAUUAAACCAAAGAGCCUGAGCCAACUCUAUAUAUUUCCAUCACCUCCUGGCUCUACUCCAAACCUGCCUGACAGACCAAGUUACUGACUACACUGCUCCAAAUUAUUUCAGUUUAUUUUAAUCUAUCUCCUGUGCCCUGUAAAUGGCCGUUCAUCUUUAAUACCUAGCACAAAUGAAACCCUAAGCAGAGCUGGCAGCCCCUUACCCCAGCAUACAGAGAACAUCUUUCCCUGAGUUAGAAUUUAUUCUGCAAGACAAGGAACUGCCUAAAAGGUCUAGUGUCCUGACCCAUCCUUCACAUCUAGGACACAGCAUUCAGUACACUAGGGAGCCUUGGAAGGUGGCUAACUGGGAGAAGAUGAGUGACCACCAGCGAAACCAUACUGGUAGUUCCAAAUCUUAUUCUUGUGCCCCCCUGCUUUCCUGCACACUCUUACAUAUCUACUCAAGCAAAAAUACCUAAGUCUGGGCAUUGCACCAUUAAUGGGACUCCCCAUUAACUCUUGGCAAUUAACUCUUGAGGGGCCACGUCACCAGGGCCGGUAGAUGGUGAGGAGACUCAGCACUAGGAAGUCAUAGCUAAGUUGAAGCACACCACAUGAACCUCUGCAGUUUAACCUGGCUACUGUGAAAUCCCUGUUCUGCCUCCCAAGCCGCCAUUCUCUACUGUAUCCCAGGAGAACUUCCCACAUGACCCUACCCAGGCUGCAAGUGCCCUCUGGACUCUAGAGAAGCUCGCAGAUGUCCAACCUCUGCAUCUUCUCUGAAGACACCCUGACAAAACCCUCUGUCGGGCUUGGGUCAGACCAGGUAUAGGACCCCUCAACUUUGCUUCUACUGAACACAGCAGAGGCCCAAUCAAUCUACCUUUUUUCUCUCCAGGCCAAUUCUGCCACCCUUCAGUACCAAGCCUUUCAUACGUGAUCAUGCCCACAUGACAAUCCUGGUUAAAAUAAAACAAAUAACGUUCACUCUAUGGUCUGUGACCAAGAGAGCUAGUCCAUUCUUCUGGGCCUAGACAAGGCUAUGCUUGACCUAUAAUGAAAAACGGCCAUGUAGGAGCUCUGAUGACACACAGCUUCAGAAAAUAAGAGACUUGAACAAAGAGUGGUCUGGUCUGGAAUCCCAGAACUCAGGAGGUGGAAACAAGGAUCUUUCUUUCUUUUUUUUUUUUAAGUUUUUUUUUUAGAUGUUCAUUUAUUGUUAUACAUAAGUACACUGUAGCUGUCUUCAGACACCAGAAGAGGGCGUCAGAUCUCAUUACGGGUGGCUGUGAGCCACCAUGUGGUUGCUGGGAUUUGAACUCAGGACCUUUGGAAGAGCAGUCAGUGCUCUCAUCCACUGAGCCAUCUCACCAGCCCAGCAAGGAUCUUUCUAUACACUUGAGGCUAGCCAAGGUGAGUUCCAGGACAGCCUUAGCUACAUAGGAAAGCCCAGUAUGACUAACUUACCCACUCCCUAAAGCAAAGAGUAUGGCCCCUCUUCAGAAGCUACGAAUUCUCACUUUGCCUUCAAGCUCCAGUCUGGCCCCACAGAAUGCAAACGCUCCAUCUGCUUUCUUUUACUGAAGUGGCUGUGUUUCCCGAGCUGAACUACCUGCUGAAUUAAUGAAUGUCUUUUGGACAAUGGGCACCGCCAUGACCUUGAUUUCUCUCACGGAUGGGUCUCUGGGGCACAGCUGGGGCCCCAAUUAACUACAGGCUAUCUAUCCCAGACCUGCCAAUCAAUGCUACUGUUCAGCUGUCUGCACGCUUUCUCAGUUUUAUCCCCAGUUCACAUAAAUCCUACAUUCUAGAUCCAGCCUGUCUGUGGCUAAGCCCCCUGCCUUUCCACAACUGGAAUCUGGAAGUUGAACUUUUAAAAUUUAAGAGUGAGAAAAGGAAGAGACAUUUAUCGAAAGGAUGCCUGAGCUGCAAUGUAAUAGCCAGCCCACAGAUGGAUAGAUUUGUAUUCUAGGGUGUGGGGGGGAAAAAAGAGGAAAGAGAGCAAGGGAAAGGGGGGUAGAGGGGCAGGAGAGGGGCAGAGGGGGGGAAGAGGCUGACUCCAUGACGAAUUUCUGGGCUUCUCUACGUGGGAAGAGCACAUAGGCCUUAUUCAGAAUUAAAACCCUUUUCCGUUUAGGCCUGGUGCCUGGAGGAUGGAUCUACAUGCACUUGACCAACUCAGCCUCUCCAUUUAAAAAGCUCCCAAAGCUAGUUCAUGGGUCGUCCCCAAAGCUCGACAUGGCGUACAAACUUGGAAACUUUAGUCUGCCUGGGUUUGGGGUACAUGCCUGAAGCCCCAGUGCUUGGAAGGCUAAGGCAGGAGGAUAAGUUUAAGGCAGUGUGGACAACUGAGGGCUGACCACACAGAGGGAAAUGUAGCCAAAGGUCACCUUGAAUUCCUGGACCUUACGCUUCUAUCUCCCUCAUACUGGGAUAAAUCCUUGUACCCUGACAAACCCGAAGAGGCCUCUGGAAAUGUAUUCUUGAUCCCUGUGGCCUCCAGAGCUUGAACAAUGGGAGAAUCUUCAAGCUAUGCUGUAAUAUCGAUGGCCUGACCCACUCUAAGAGGCGUAGUAAGACACUGUCUCAAAAUGCAAAAACAAAAUAUAGAGCUAGGGAUGUAAAUAUUGAAUAUAGAUAUAGGGUGCAGGUCAGUGGCAGGACACUUGCCUGACAAGCACCAAGUCUUGGGUUCAAUUUCUAGCACCACAAAAAUAUAAAAUGUAGAAGCAUGCACAAAUUAUUGGCUUUGUUAGGACAGAGUAUAUGUAUAUGACCAAGACAACCUCAUAGCUGAGACUGGCCUUCUCAGAAUCAAAACAAUCCUCUGACCCCUAAAUGUUUGGAUUAUAAAGGCAGGCAGCACUUGGGAGGCAGAGGCAGGUGGAUUUCUGAGUUCGAGGCCAGCCUGGUCUACAAAGUGAGUUCCAGGACAGCCAGGGCUACACAGAGAAACCCUGACUUGAGAAAAAAAAAAGAAGAAGGAGGAGGAGGAUGAGGAGGAAGGAGGAAGGAGGAAGGAGGAAGGAGGAAGGAGGAGGAGGAGGCGGCGGUGAAGGAAGGGAAGGGAAGGGAAGGAAAGAAGGGAAGACAAUCAUAAAAAAAAUAAAUGUUUGGAUUAUAGCUAUGUACCACAUACCGAUAAUAUAUGUAUUUGAGAAUUCUGUCAAAUUCUCAAAUUCUGAAUGAGAGUGUCAAAUUCUCUUGAAGCACCAGCAGAUUUACUACUUCAACAUUAAAUUGCAGAAAUAGAAAGAUAGCUAUGGUUUAGAACAUUGACUGCCCUUCCAGGGGACCUGGGGUCUAUCCUUGCUACCUAUAAGUUCAAUCGCAGGGGAUCCAACACCCUCUUUCCAACAUCUUCAGGCACCAGACAUACACAUGGAGUGGAGACUUCAGAUCUCAGCCUUUGGAGGAGUCAGCCUGGACCACAGGACACGGGGAGGGUUAAAAUGAGAAUGGAUGUCUCUACUCAGUUUUCUGAGGACAUUUUAAUCAGUGUCUAUGAGCCACUGUUGCAAGCUCUUCAACUUUAUUGUAUUCUGAGAAAGGAGGUCACAGUUCACUUCCAUGAAACUGCCCCUUGCUGUAGCAAUGUCACCAAGCAACACCCUGGCAUUCUUCCCCAGGUGUCAGAUGGCCCUUAAGCAUCCCCAUGUCCUCCCCGUCUGUACCCUUCAGGAGACACUGAAUUUGGUAUGCUCCCAAUUUAGAACCUCCUUAUCCAGUCCCACCUCCAAAACCGUACCCUUCAUUCCCCAUCUCCCCAGUGAUUAAACUCUAUCUUGUACCCUGGUGACUUACACAGUUGCCUCCAUCACUGGUUGGAUAAUGUCCAGCAGGAGACAGGUCCAUGUCUUAACUGAUCUUUUUCUCCCAAAAGUCUUAUUAUCUGAGUAACGAUUAUUACCCACAAAAAUAAAAGAACUAAGAUUACAUUUCAGCUCCAAUUUAGAAAAUUCUGCUUCUACUGGUCCAAACUAUUCUUUGCUGGCAGUCGAGGCUGAUCCUAAACUCCCAAAACCUUGGGUAUUCUAUUCUGAAACAAAACUGGAGAAACCAAACGCUGCAAACCAUUAGGAAGGUCAGUGUCUCCCGGGACUAAAUGUCCACCAGCCAAAACAAAAUAAAGCCAAUUUGAACAAUAACGUUUGGCCAUUCACCCAGAGGUCCUGUCCGAGCCCAGUGGAAUCCAUUCGCUACCUUCAUGUCUGACUUUCCUUUCCCAGCGAGCAGCACACAAGAACUCCAGGCCUGUUGGUUGUUUAUUGUUUGUUCACAUGUAUGGUUUGGUUUUCGAUUUUUUGUUUUUGGGUUUUCAUGUUUUGUUUUGUCUUUGCCUCCCGAGUCCAGUACUGGGAUUAAAGGGAUGCACCAUUGACCAGCCAGGCCUGCUUCUUUCUCUUUCUCAACUGUCAUGCUUGUUUGGACAUACCCUAUCCUCAAGACUACAACCACAAGGAAGGGCUGCCCCGUAGCUGGGAGACAGAACAGCCCUGUAGAAGAAACGCAGGCAGCAGCACACACCACACUGGCAGAGAUGCCCCAACAUUAAAAAGGCUCAUUCACCCAUUUUGGAGGAAGCAUGUUUCACUUAAGAUUGAAACAUUAUAGACCAUUUAGGGCUAGGUCAGAAGUGCAUACGCCUCUAAAACCCACAGAAAUAGAAAGAACCCCUGACCUGAGGAAGAGAAGGUAUGAUCUGUACUUGUCUCGAGUCCUAGGCUGAUCAUGAAUUGCCCAUCUCCCUGCCUCUGCCUACCAAGUGCUGGGAUUACAGAUGUGCACUGCCCUGCCUGAUUUAUAUAUACAAUGCUGAGACUCUUACUGAGCUACAUCCUAACCCAGUUUGAUGCAGUUUCAGGUAUCCCAAGCUGUGGACUUCCCACUCUUCUGCCUCCACCCCUACCCACUGACUUCUGCUUUACCUAAUUAGAGCUGUGUGUUCUUCUGCCCACUUAAGCCUUACAUUUCUUUAUAUUUCUUUCUUUUUUUUUUCUUUUUUUUUUUUUUUUUUUUUGUUUUUGUUUUUGUUUUUUCGAGACAGGGUUCUCCGUAUAGCCCUGGCUGUCCUGGAACUCACUUUGUAGAUCAGGCUAGCCUCGAACUCAGAAAUCCGCCUGCCUCUGCCUCCCAAGUGCUGGGAUUAAAGGCGUGUGCCACCAUGCCCAGCUCUUUAUAUUUCUUAUACCUUUAUAUUUCUAAAAUGAAAUUACCUAACUGAACUCAAUUCCCAACCCAGCACAUAUCCAGCUCAUAUCUAAAGUUACAAGUUAUUCAUAUGAAACAAAAAAAAACAAACAAACAAAAACAAAAAACAAAAAAUAAGGUUAACACUGGGAAAAAAAUUAGGAUGCAGACCUCUGUGGAGCAAGCCACAGUUUUGGCUCUGUACUUCCUUGGCAACCAUAGCAAAAAGAGAAAUAUGAGCAGUUAUAAAUUUCCAAUUGUCCCAAAAAAAGAAAGAAAAAAAAAGGCAUACCAGUCCCUCUGAAGGGCCAAAGCUUUUCCUGGCACUAUGUUCUAAAAGAAUUCUCCCUCGAACUUCUUAAAGGAGACAUUAUAGGAUGUGGUAGAGAGUAUCAAACGAUGUGAACCCCAAGAAACAAGUUACAUCAAGCUUUUCCUCCUGCUGUUUUUCGGGGUACGUGAAGGGCACUCAGUAGAAGCACUUCAGUCAACAAUGAGAAGAGGGGGCCUCAGUGUGCAGCCUCCCGUCAGGCCAGCUUGGUUAAUCAAGACUAAGUCAAGAGUGUCCACGACAGGUAGACAGCACACUUUGUUUGGAGACAGGGUUUGUAGCCCUGGCUGUCCUGGAACUCACUCUAGAACAGGCUAGCCUCAAACUCAGAGAUCUGCCUGCCUUUGCCUCCCAUCAACCAGCUAACAGUAUGUCUUUUCUAAAACUACCACAAGUAUUACUUCUUCCAAAGACACUAAGUCUUGGGGAGGACGCUGUACGCUGGUGCUAGUGAGCUCCAUCCAGGCAGUCUGAGCUUCAGAAAGACCCAGUCUCAAAAGGAUUCAAAGGGGGAAAAGAGGAGCUGGGCAGCAGCUGUUACGUCAUGAUCUCUCAAUUCCAGCCAGGUGUAGGGGUGCACACCCUAUCCCAGCAUGCAGGAGGCAGAGGCAGGUGGAGCUCUGUGAGGACAGCAUUGUCUAAAUAGCAAGUUCCAGGCCAGUGCUACACAGUGAAACACUGUCGUAAAAGAAAAUAAAUUCCACUCUAGUUCUAACAAACCUUAGUGAUACUUAUGGCCUUCAUUUACUUAAUAUCAAUUAAGACUUGGUCAUUGCCCACCGACCACCACCAAAUCAAUUGAUCUGGGGAUGGAUUCCUGCCAGCUAGAGAUGAGAAUCUACCUCAUACUAUUAAUGCUGUUAUUAACAGGAGCACUGAGUGCUUCCUAGGUGCCGGGCUCUGGGCCUGGUUUCCCUGGCAUUCUCCUCUAAUCCUCCCAUAAAUCCCCAGUGAUAGUUACUAUUAUUAGUCCCAUUUUACAAAUAAGGACCAAAGAGUUAGGGAACUGUAGAUUGCCCAAGGUCACAGAGCUAAUUAUCCGGCUCUUUCUCACUCAGGAGCCAGGCCCCUCAGCUCCACUGUAGGGCCUGCUGGUGUUAAUGAAAAGUGUGGUUACUGAUAGAAAUGCUAAUGCAUGUCAGAAAAAAAAGGGGGGGCAGAGUGAGGUCAGCAGAAGAAGCAAGGGAUGUUUAUUAACAAUAACUGGUGCUGGGGUUUUCAGAGACUGGCCACCAAUAUGGAAUAAAGGAAUAAAAAGCAAUACUGUGAAAAAUGCAAAGUGCAAAAGGAAUAUUGAAAAUAUUAUCUUAUCCCAAGAAAGAAACAAAACAGUUAUUUUCCUCAUAGUCUCUUAAAAAGAUUGUUGCAUGCCUUUAAUCCCAGCUUUUGGGAGGCAGAGGCUGGGGGAUCUCUGCUGAGUUGUAGACCAGGCACAGAUACAAAGGGAAAAAAAAACUGUCUCAAAAAGCAAAACAAACAAACAAAACGACAACAAAAAACUUCCUACUUUAGAGACUGAAACUUGCCUCCUUUGAUCAUUUAUGUUUUUAACCAACAGAUAUUUAUCUAGCACCCACUGAGCUCAAAGUAUUGCCAGGACAGAGCAAGUCAGAAUGGAAUGGGCACGCUCAAUAUUCCAUUCCAAUAAAUAAGUAGGUAAUACAUUCCUAGACUGUAGUAAACUGUUUUUUAUAAUAAUAAUAAUAAAGUUAGGGUUUGGGGAUGUAGCUGUUGGUAGAUUUCUUGCUUAGCAUGCAUUGAAGUUGAGAGUCCUGCAAGGCAUAGAACUCACCUGUAAUUCCCAAAUUAGGGAUCUAGAGGCCUGGUAUAAUAAAUUCAAGACCAGCCUGGGGUCUCCUGUAUCCCAAGACAAACAAGUUAAGGACUGUAAAGAGGCUGUGGACCAAGAGGUGAGGAGAUGUUGAUAAGUAGUUGGGGAAACACUAGCUCUCAUCUGGAAGAGGAAAGUAACUACAAAAGCAAAACCCACCAGAAUUAGAGAGUAGGCUCUUGCUACUCUUGUAGAGACCAGGGUUUGGGUCCCAGCGCCCACAUGAUUGACACAUGUUGGAACAUAACCAUCCCAACUCCAGUUCCAGGGGCCCUUGAUACUCUUUUCUAAUUGGAGACCAUAAAUGCAUGCAGAGAUAAUACUCACCUACACAGAUUAAAAUAAAUCUUUAAAAAGGAAAAGCUGUAACCAGGAAAAAAAAAAAAGAGGCUUAAAUUGGGUGUGGUGACUGACAUACCCCGGUAAUCCACGAGUCAGGUGGUAGAGGUCAAAGGGUCAGCCUGAGUUACAGAACAAAUCUGAAGACAGCAAGUUUCGGAAACGUCACAAGGCCCCAAGUAGUUGCAGCAGAAAUGGAAUGAGGUUGGGAAGGCAGGUGAUAAGGUGAGGGGAGCUGGGGGAGGGAGUCAGGGGAGGGCUCAGAGAAGGAGGCUGCAUUAGACUGAAGUGCACCAGGCAGAGCCCACUGCAGCUCACUGGGAAAUUCAGGCAGGUGCAAUCUCUUACAGACCCAAGUAGACAGCAUCUUUUGUAAUGGAUAUCACCAAAACCCUGUCAGCCCUUACAAAUACCUUUAGCUGGCAGACAGGAGGGCACUCUGGCUGGCUCUCCAUCACCGUGGGCUAGAAUUCAAAGUGAUGCUUUAUACCUGUCAAGAGUACCCAGUGGUUUGGUUGCUAGGCUAGACCUGGGGGAAAAGCGGAGAUAAUUUACAGAGACCGGAUCCUGACUCCUUUCCAAUCCUCUCCGCUCUGAUAUUCCUAAGACCUGUCACCUGCCCCCUUCUCAACACACACACACACACUUUUCUGCUCCUUUCAUUUUUCUAUGUGCUCAAAACUGGAUAUUCCGAAUGCGAGCAGCUAGGCCAAAUGGAGCGUUAUUAGAAUUAAUUUAAACAAUCUCUCAGUGAAUGUUCUCAUACAAGGCACUUUUUGCCAAGGACCACAGUAGAAUCUGAAUGUAGAUAAUUAAGUGUCCCUUGUAAAAGCUAAACUGCAGAUUUAAUUCAAAGAAAUCUCUUCCACCAACCUGUCUGGACAAAAUAAGAGGGCGAAAUUGAAUGGACAGCUCCACUGGUGUGUUUGUGUGUUAUCUGUGCUUAAAGGCAAAGGUAAAAAGCACCAGAAACCGGAUGACUAACUGGAUCCACCUGCACACACCGUGCCCAUGCAGUGGGAAGGAGCCAGCUGACUAGGCAAGGGAUGUGGGAACCUGAGUCUCUUAUUAACAUCUGAUGAUAGACAAGUCCCUGAUUCCCCCAACCCCCAAAUCAAAAUAAAGACACAGCUUGCUUUUCCCUGGGGCUACACAGUCUGGAAUACCAGCCAGACAUUAAACAAAAUCAAUCCUUUCUUCUGCUGGCCAGUUGUUAAUCCCCUAGGCACAAUGACUGCCUCAAAACCAUUAACAUCAUUAUGACAAUGAAAAUUCACAUAAUCUGUGAACAGCACAGCAGCUCCCCAGCGGGGCUCACAUCUCCCACCCCCACACACACUCAGAAACAGACACUGCUCCAGAACUGUGAGCGGCAGCCUCAGAGGAGCUGGGGUGCAGCGGGUGCAAGGCCUGCCAGUCUUACUCUCUUCACCAAAGCUUUUGAGGAUCCCACUCUGCAGCCCAGGCUGGCACAGAGCGCAAGAGCUGGCUGCCUCGGUUUCCUGAGUGGGACCAUAGCUGCAUAGUACCACGCCAGGCCCCUUAAACUUUGCAAAGGUAGGAGCCAUCUACCUGACGCUGCAUUUCACAUCCAUUCUCAAUAUUCAUUGCCGCCAACUCCCAGUAAUCAGCAAGCUGAAUCAGCUAAGGAGCACCCUCCCCCCAUCAGCACCCCUAAACAGAUGUGUGGUGUCCAACGCCUGGAAUCUCUAUCCUGUGGAGGGUGAGGCAGGAGGAUUGUAGUAAAGUUCAAAAGCAGCCUGGAGCUAUGUAAUGUGUUCCAGGUCAGACUAGACUGUAUAAUAUGAAAUCCUUUCUCAAAAUAAGACAGAGAGCCGGGCGUGGUGGUGCACGCCUUUAAUCCCAGCACUCGGGAGGCAGAGGCAGGUGGAUUUCUGAGUUCGAGGCCAGCCUGGUCUACAAAGUGAGUUCCAGGACAGCCAGAGCUAUACAGAGAAACCCUGUCUAAAAAAAAAAAAAGAAAAAAAAAAAAGACAGAGAGAAUAAGCAUCUAUACACACUAUACGUAUACAUGUAUAAUGUAUCUUUGUAUAUAUAAAAUACAAACUUUUUAACCCUGCUGUCUUUCUAAAUAUUACUCUGGACAUAUUCAUGCACAGCCAGGCUAGAGGACCUCCGCCCUGAACCAAUGUUUCUCAAACUGAAGGUCGUGACCCAUUUGGUUAGGAAAUCAAAUUAAUGAGUCAUGACCACCAGCUGAUUGUUGUUUUUCUAAUGAAGCAGGAAAAAGAACAGCACAUACAUACUGCAGGUAGUAUGGCAACAGUCACUGCCUCCUAGAAUGUCUAGUCCAGGCUAGCAUGCAUUGCUAUAAUGUAUCCCUUACUGCGGAUCCCUAGCCAAGUUUGAAAAUCAUGGUUCUAAAGAAUUGAAGGGGUUUUGUUUGGUUUUGUUUUUUUUUGUUUGUUUGUUUGUUUUCUGAGACAAAGGGUCUCCCUACAUAGCCCUGCCUAACCUGGAAUCCCUUUAUACAGCCCAGGCUGACCUCAAACUUGCAGUGAUCAGAACUUACCUCACGGGGUACUGGGGUUAGAUAUUUACCACCACUCCCGGCUGGGAAAACUAGUCACUGUUUUUCUGAGACAGGAUUUCUGUGUAGCUUUAGCUGUCCUGGAACCUGCUUUGUAGACUAGGCUGGUCUCAGAGAUCCCACCUGUCUCUGUCUCCCAGAUGCUGGGAUUAAAGGCGUGUACUGCCACUGCCUGGCAAAGGCACAUAUUCUUAUCUGUGUUCUUUAUUUUCCAUUUCCCACCCUUAUCUCAAGGCAAGCAGAGAGAUCUAAGAAGUGAUGUUACUGAACCCUAAACUAGGCAGAGCCCAACUGAGGCAGUGCACGAGCCCAGGUACCCCGCUCUAUCGCAUCCGACCCUGUCGUGGAAUCCGGGACAAAUCACAGUGCCUAAGAAUUUACAAAAUGAUGUAAAGAGAGUGAAACUUCCUCAAAGAUAAGAAUAUCAAAUGCUAAGAAAGCUGAUGGACUGAACUCAGGUAAAACCUACAGCAGUGUGUGCCAAAAGGAAAAGCAACCCAAUCUUACUGACCAGAUCCUGUAAACCCCCAAACCAGGCAGACUACUGCAGAGCCUCAAGCAUGAGGUUUACUGUAAUUCCUUUGUGCCUCUAAUGUUCUGUAAAUGGGGUUCAGAAAAGUAAUCCCUAGGCUUGUUGUUCAGUGCUCUGGACAGGGAGCCCAUCUUGCGAGAACGAAGACAAGCAUGAGGAACAAAAGACUAAUAGGACUCCAACUCAGUGGCUCAAAGACCCUCCAACGUGGCAACAACAAAUCAACAAGGAAGCCAAAAAGCAGGGCUCCGGCGCAUUUGCCAUUUCCAGCAGCCGGGCCGUGGAAGGCUAGGCAAACCGGAGGAUGCUCGCUCAGCUUUUUAAAAACUGUGGGUAAAAGUGAAGUCAGAGGUGGCAGGCAGUUCUUUGCACGAGGGGUCCAAAGCAACAGUGCUUCCCCCUAAGUGCCAGCCAGGAGACGGGUGUAAGGUUCCACUGUUUCGGAAAAAAAAAAAAAUCACCCGAAGGGAGUCAGCAACCAGGCAGGUAAACUUGAAGCAGGAAGAGAGGCAGGAGCCAGCUGCGGGAGGGACUCUCCGCAGAGGCCCCCGCAGCGAGUCUGGCAACAGAGUUCGUGCCCACCCCUUGGCAAGGCCGCAGGGGAGGCGCCGGGAAGCGUCCAGGCAGGAACUCGCUGUGGUUCCCUUGGCUUGGGGCUGCCGAAGCGCUCCGGGGACUUUAGAGGGCGACGUGCCCCAGACCCAACUAUCUCAAUGGAGACAUCGACCAUACAGCCGGGUGCCGCCGGGUGCCAUCCGUGGGGGGUGGGUCACGCCGAACAAGGGAGGCGUUGGCGCUCAGGUCUCUGGGUCCCCAUAUUUGCCAGGCGGCUCGUCGCCACCCGCCGAGUCCCGAACCCGGAGCGCGCGCCAGUGUUUGUAAACAAACCGGUCACGUGGCUGCAGCAACCCGUUCCCCGCCCCUAGCACCCCGGGAACCUUCGGGGAGCCCCCUCGGGACCGCGACAGCACCGCCCCAGCCGAGCCCGGCUGCACGCAGCCCAGGAGCCCGACCGUCCCCAGGGCGCACAGCCCGAACUGGAGCGGAAUGCGCCCCACGCCCACGCGAGCCCAGCUCGAGAUCCCUCAUACCUGGCGGUAGGCUGCCCGGUCCGGCCAGCGCCGGGCUCUCCGGAGUGCUUGGCGAUGAAGGACUGCACGGCUGACUCUAGCGCUCCCUGCGCGCUCUUAAAGCCACAGUCUCCGCCACCGCCGCCGCCACUGCCGCUCCGCAUCCCUCCGAAUCCGGGCUGGGGGCUUGCCGGGUGACAGACGCGCCCCCGCGCCUAUCCCAUCGGCUCAGCACAUAGCAACACGCCACUGGUUGGCCCUGCACGGCCGCAGCCCAUCCGCCAGGAGCCAAUCACUGGAGGACGGAACUCCGCCCCUGCUUUCCCUGCCUCCCGCCCCCAACCCCCACCCGCCCCUCGGCCCUGGCGGGGCGCGCGUGCGAGGAGUGUGGCAAGGUCUGGGUCCCGCCAGUCCUGGCAGCUGGCGGGCAGGGCUGGGAGAAGAGGUGAUUAGAGUGGGGGAGCUCUCUGAGAUAGGAGCCUGUUUGUCUGGCUUUACUGGGAUUCCCAGGACCCGGGGUUAUGUUGGGAAGUGGGAUUUACAGUGCUUUUGUUUUGAGAACCUAGAUAGUAAUUCCUCGCUCCACUUUUUAAGCCACUCCUGACCCAGAGCCUAAGUUACUAAAAGUGACCCGCAGAGUUCAAGGCAGGUGUAUUUAGUAAGAUAGUACCAGUCUCGUCAUGCCCACCCAUGCCCUGCUCAGAAGCGGAGAUUCUCUAUUUCCUCUGCCCUGCUCGAAAUUUCCUAAUUAAAACUAGGAAAGGGUU